AUUGAAUGCUGGCUGCGUGCUUAACACAUGCAAGUCGAACGGUGAACCAGGGCUUGCCCUGGGGAUCAGUGGCGAACGGGUGAGUAACACGUGGGCAACCUGCCCCUCACUCUGGGAUAAGCCCGGGAAACCGGGUCUAAUACCGGAUAUGACCUCGUGCGACAUCACAUGAGGUGGAAAGAACUUCGGUGAGGGAUGGGCCCGCGGCCUAUCAGCUAGUUGGUGGGGUAACGGCCCACCAAGGCGACGACGGGUAGCCGGCCUGAGAGGGCGACCGGCCACACUGGGACUGAGACACGGCCCAGACUCCUACGGGAGGCAGCAGUGGGGAAUAUUGCGCAAUGGGCGAAAGCCUGACGCAGCGACGCAGCGUGAGGGAUGACGGCCUUCGGGUUGUAAACCUCUUUCAGCGGGGACGAAGCGAAAGUGACGGUACCCGCAGAAGAAGCACCGGCUAACUACGUGCCAGCAGCCGCCGUAAUAC
rnacentral:rRNA from 1 species